UAGGAUGUGGUGUAAUGGGAGCACGGAGGGUUUUGAGUUCUUUGGUAUAGGUUCGAGUCCUAUUAUCCUAG
rfam:Sarcophilus harrisii ctg7180002478603, whole genome shotgun sequence.